CCUACGGGUGGCAGCAGUGAGGAAUAUUGGUCAAUGGGCGCGAGCCUGAACCAGCCAAGUCGCGUGAGGGAAGACGGUCCUAUGGAUUGUAAACCUCGUUUGUCGGGGAGCAAAAGACGCCACGCGUGGCGUUCCGCGAGUACCCGAAGAAAAAGCAUCGGCUAACCCCGUGCCAGCAGCCGCGGUAAUACGGAGGAUGCGAGCGUUAUCCGGAUUUAUUGGGUUUAAAGGGUGCGCAGGCGGAAGAUCAAGUCAGCGGUAAAAUUGAGAGGCUCAACCUCUUCGAGCCGUUGAAACUGGUUUUCUUGAGUGGGUGAGAAGUAUGCGGAAUGCGUGGUGUAGCGGUGAACUGCAUAGAUAUCACGCAGAACUCCGAUUGCGAAGGCAGCAUACCGGCGCUCAACUGACGCUCAUGCACGAAAGUGUGGGUAUCGAACAGGAUUAGAUACCCCGGUAGUC
rnacentral:rRNA from 1 species